CACCUACGGGUGGCAGCAGUGGGGAAUUUUGGACAAUGGGGGCAACCCUGAUCCAGCCAUGCCGCGUGUGCGAAGAAGGCCUUCGGGUUGUAAAGCACUUUUGGCAGGAACGAAACGGUUUGCGUUAAUACCGCGAACUAAUGACGGUACCUGCAGAAUAAGCACCGGCUAACUACGUGCCAGCAGCCGCGGUAAUACGUAGGGUGCAAGCGUUAAUCGGAAUUACUGGGCGUAAAGCGUGCGCAGGCGGUUAUAUAAGACCGAUGUGAAAUCCCCGGGCUCAACCUGGGAACUGCAUUGGUGACUGUAUAGCUAGAGUGUGUCAGAGGGGGGUAGAAUUCCACGUGUAGCAGUGAAAUGCGUAGAGAUGUGGAGGAAUACCGAUGGCGAAGGCAGCCCCCUGGGAUAACACUGACGCUCAUGCACGAAAGCGUGGGGAGCAAACAGGAUUAGAUACCCUGGUAGUCCACGCCCUAAACGAUGUCUACUAGUUGUUGGGAGGGUAACCUCUUAGUAACGCAGCUAACGCGUGAAGUAGACC
rnacentral:rRNA from 1 species